UAUUUUAAUAUUGCUGAUAUUGAUGUUUUGCUAUGGUAAAACUUGAGGGUUGCAUGGAUGCAAAAAUCCAACUUCUUUUCCUCUAUUCAAAUUUCACGCUUUAAGCAAGAACUAACCAAUAAUUUGAGUAAUUGAAUCCUAGAAUUUGUUAUUUGAUUGAACUAUUUAAUUUUAUUUUAAUUACAAUGGUGUUGCAAUUUGUAUUAUUUUAUAAUUAGUUGUAAGUUAUAAGCUAAUUGUUUUUUUCUUCUUAUUUUACGUUCUUAAUGACUAUGGCCUUGUCUAAUGAUAUUUUCUAGAAAUAUUGUGAUUUACAAUAGAUAUUUAAAAGUUAAUCUCAAGCUCAAGGUCAAGCUUAUUGAGCUCAAAUUUGAGUUCAUGUUAAUGAGCUUAUCAAGCUUGAGCUAUGCUCAUUAAUAUAAUAAACAAAUUUAAAACAAGCCGAGCUUAAGCUUUAAUAUUAAAGUUUGAAUCUAUCUCGAGCCUGAUAUAUUAUUGAAGAGCCAAGUUGAGCUAGCCGUGGCUUGGCUUGGCUUAGCUUGUUUACACUGCCAGCUAGGCUCUUCUCCUCCUCUGUCAUGACCUCCUCUCCAUUGGCCUUUUCUCCUUGCACUGCUAACUUUUUUUACCAUAUCAUUCUUUUUGGCUAAUGGGUUUUAUCUUACAUUAAUUUUUUGUCUAAAUUUUCAAUUUUAGAUUUGGUUAUUUUGAUCCUGUCCCUUUCUUUUCCCUGUUCUUGUCUACCCUUUUGUACUACCCCUUGCAUUGAAACCCUAAUUUUUGCAUAUGUCUUCAUCUCCUAGUAGUUGCUUCCAUUCCAAAUUUGAUUUAUUCAUUGUUUGUGAAAUGUUUUGAAUUUGAUUUCCAAAUUUUGUUUUUGGGGUUCAUUUCUAAGAAAAACUUUCUUAAUUUUUUGAUCAUCAAUGUUUAAAUAAAUGGUCAUUAACAAUAUAAACAUGUCUAGAUUCCUGUGAUUCCUGCAUAGCUUCUAAUUUGAACUCUCUUAAUCACUGUUUCUCUCCAUUUUCUUUUAACUAAUGCAAAGAAAGCGUGGGCAAAGAUGUCAAGUAGAAAGAAUGGUUUCAAAUAAUAGCCGUUACAUAAAUAACAGCUAUUAUUUAUAAGUUUUGGAAUGGCCCAUUACACGAUACAUCAUUAUUUAUAGGCAAAUCUGGAGUUGUAGGUGUAACGGCGGUUACAAUCGUUACGUAAUAGUAACGGCCAUUAUUUGCCAUUGCAUAACAGUGUUAUUUUGUUUCUCUUUUCUUUGUUUGCAUAUUUUCUCUUUCACAGCAACUAUAUCUCAUAUUCUCUCAAAUUUUUACCUAAAUUUCUCCUUUCUUCUACAUAUUCUCUCCCUUAUUGUUUACUAAGCUAAAAUCAUCAUUAAAUAUCUCUAUUAUAGCGAUAAAUUGUUUAAUGCUAAUGAU
rnacentral:misc_RNA from 1 species